GGCCCAAUGGUCUAGAGGUAAGAUACUUGCUUUGGGCGGUUCCUACGGGAGCACACAACUGCAAGGGAUCCCGGGUUCGAAUCCCGGUUGGGCCC